UACGGGGGGAGCAAGCGUUGUUCGGAUUUACUAGGCGUAAAGGGCGCGUAGGCGGCCACCGCAAGUCGACUGUGAAAUCUCCGGGCUUAACCCGGAAAGGUCAGCCGAUACUGCGGGGCUAGAGUGCAGAAGGGGCAACUGGAAUUCUCGGUGUAGCGGUGAAAUGCGUAGAUAUCGAGAGGAACACCUGCGGCGAAGGCGGGUUGCUGGGCUGACACUGACGCUGAUGCGCGAAAGCUAGGGGAGCGAACGGG
rnacentral:rRNA from 1 species